rnacentral:lncRNA from 1 species
GUGCGAAGGGCUCAUGUGAAGCUCGGUGGUCUUCAGUUCAAUUCCAGCUACAAAAAAAUUCAAACAGCCAACACCACAACACAGAGUUCAGUAGAAAGGACUCACAUAGAAUAUUGAGCAACUACUGGCUACACUACAUUACCCGACCUGGGUUGCUUUACCAGAUCCAUAUUUGUGAUCUGACGUCUGUAACACUGAGCCCGCCUGGCCGACCCUAGAUGUUCUGUGGCACAGCCCUUCCUUCCAGCGUCUUUGGUAGGUGCUUAGGGUAAUUCUAGGAAGUCUAUCUGAAGAAUGCUGGUUUAAAAUUAUUCCAGAAUCCAUGCUGCAUCUGUCUUUCCCUCUAUAGGUCUUUCUGUCUCUGUCUCUUUCUCUCCCUGGGAGUAAGUCUGAGUUUGUGUCUAUGUAAGAAAUGAGUGUGUGGAUGACUGUGAGGGCAGCGGCUUUAUGCAGCGGCUGCGGGAGCCACAGUGGACCUGUGGACGUCAGAGGACAACAUUUCAGUAUCCAUCCACACCUUUGCAUCUUCUUUGAGACAAGGUCUUUUUCCUGCUACACAAGCCAGGCUAGCUGAAAUGUCCUGUCCCUUCCUCUCAUGACCCCAUAGGAACAUGCUGGCAUUACAGAUCCUUGUGGCAUGGCUCUGACAUUUGUGUGGGUUCUAAAGAUCUGCAUUCAGGUUGUCAGUCUUGCAUGACAAAUUCUUGACCCACUAAGC